rnacentral:rRNA from 1 species
UACGAAGGGGGCUAGCGUUGCUCGGAAUCACUGGGCGUAAAGGGUGCGUAGGCGGGUCUUUAAGUCAGGGGUGAAAUCCUGGGAGCUCAACUCCAGAACUGCCUUUGAUACUGAAGAUCUUGAGUUCGGGAGAGGUGAGUGGAACUGCGAGUGUAGAGGUGAAAUUCGUAGAUAUUCGCAAGAGCACCAGUGGCGAAGGCGGCUCACUGGCCCGAUACUGACGCUGAGGCACGAAAGCGUGGGGAGCAAACAGG